CGAGCUCCCACGAUGGGCAUUGGACAAUAUAUUGAUCGCAUCUUGAAGUACACAUGUUGUGGCACUCCUUGCUUAGUUGUUGCCUACAUAUACAUUGAAAGGUAUCUUCAAAAGAUGGAUGCUUACCUAACUUCUUUGAAUGUCCACCGCCUUCUGAUCACCAGCAUAAUGGUUGCAGCGAAGUUUAUUGAUGCCGGGUGCUAUAACAAUACUUUUUAUGCCAAAGUUGG
rnacentral:misc_RNA from 1 species